rnacentral:misc_RNA from 1 species
UCAAACUUGGUCAUUUAGAGGAAGUAAAAGUCGUAACAAGGUCUCCGUUGGUGAACCAGCGGAGGGAUCAUUAAAGAGUUGCAAUAAAGAACUCUCUAAACCACCUGUGAAUCUACCUGUUCGUUGCUUCGGCAGGCGGCCCCGGGGUGGGGCCACGGCCUGUAAAAGGGUGCCUGUCGGAGGGCACAAAACUCUUAUUAUUUUCAGCAGCAGUCUGAGUUGCAAAACAAUAAGUCAAAACUUUCAACAACGGAUCUCUUGGUUCUGGCAUCGAUGAAGAACGCAGC